AAAUUCAACUUCGUUUAUGAUUUGUUAAAUAUGUUUUAAUUAUUAUUUUGUUAUAGGAUGAGGAUAGACAUCUAACUUGGUCCAAUGUUUGAGUAAGGACACAGAUUGAUGGAUUAGAGGAUCUUAACCAGCGGAUCCGGGAUCUGGUUCAGAGAAGAAUUAUUGAAUUCAACAAACAAAUCAUCUCAGGAAACAUGAAGUCAGGAAUGCAGGAGAUUAAUAUUCAGCAUUCGGAUCCACCUCGGUCUCAACCGACAUCAGGAGCUCCGCCCUUCUCAACAUCAGCAAGGACAUGUGGGUCAUCAGUUCCACCUCCAUCCUCAGAUAGCGUUCCUCCCUAGAUAUCCUCCUAUGCCCCUGAGAUGCAUCUUUAAUCA